UACGGGGGGGGGCAAGCGUUGUUCGGAAUUACUGGGCGUAAAGGGCUCGUAGGUGGCCAACUAAGUCAGACGUGAAAUCCCUCAGCUUAACUGGGGAACUGCGUCUGAUACUGGAUGGCUUGAGUUUGGGAGAGGGAUGCGGAAUUCCAGGUGUAGCGGUGAAAUGCGUAGAGAUCCGGAGGAACACCAGAGGCGAAGGCGGCCUACUGGGCUGCACCUGACGCUGAGCCGCGAAAGCCAGGGGAGCGAACGGG
rnacentral:rRNA from 1 species